rnacentral:rRNA from 1 species
UGCGUAGGCGGGAAUAUAAGUCAGAUGUGAAAAACUGAAGCUCAACUUCAGCCCUGCAUCUGAAACUGUAUUUCUAGAGGAAAGGCGGAGAAAACGGAAUUCCACGUGUAGCGGUGAAAUGCGUAGAUAUGUGGAAGAACACCAGUGGCGAAGGCGGUUUUCUAGCUUCCUCCUGACGCUGAGGCACGAAAGCAAGGGAGCAAACA